GCCGCGGUGGCGGAAUGGUAUACGCGACGGACUCAAAAUCCGUUUCCCGUAAGGGAUUGAGGGUUCGAGUCCCUCCCGCGGCACCA
rnacentral:tRNA from 1 species